UACGUAGGGUGCAAGCGUUAAUCGGAAUUACUGGGCGUAAAGCGUGCGCAGGCGGUUCUAUAAGACAGAUGUGAAAUCCCCGGGCUCAACCUGGGAACUGCAUUUGUGACUGUAGAGCUGGAGUGCGGGCAGAGGGGGAUGGAAUUCCGCGUGGUAGCAGUGAAAUGCGUAGAUAUGCGGAGGAACACCGAUGGCGAAGGCAA
rnacentral:rRNA from 1 species